rnacentral:rRNA from 1 species
ACGAGAUGCUACGGCAUCGAAGCAGUCUAUGUCAUACUUCCAAGGAAAGCUUGCACUGUCAUAAACAAAGAAUGCCUGUACCAUAACCGACACAGGUGGGUAGGUAGAGUAUACUAAGGGGCGCGAGAUAACUCUCUCUAAGGAACUCGGCAAAAUGACUCCGUAACUUCGGGAGAAGGAGUGCCUUAUUUCUAAGGUUGCAAUAACAAGAUCCAAGCAACUGUUUACCAAGAACACAGGUCUCCGCUAAGUCGUAAGACGAUGUAUGGGGGCUGACGCCUGCCCAGUGCCAGAAGGUUAAAGAAGUUGGUUAGCAUUAGCGAAGCUGAUAACUGAAGCCCUGGUGAACGGCGGCCGUAACAAUAACGGUCCUAAGGUAGCGAAAUUCCUUGUCGGGUAAGUUCCGACCCGCACGAAAGGCGUAAUGAUUUGGAUACUGUCUCGGAGAGGGGCUCGGUGAAAUAGACUUGUCUGUGAAGAUGCGGACUACCUGCACCUGGACAGAAAGACCCUAUGAAGCUUUACUGUAACUUGAGAUUGAAAUUGGACUUUAUUUGCGCAGUAUAGGUGGGAGGCGUUGAGAAUAAUCUUGCGGGAUUGUUGGAGCCAUCAGUGAGAUACCACUCUUGUAAUGUUAGAUUUCUAACUUUGUAUCAUUAUCUGGUCAAAGAACAGUUUCAGGCGGGCAGUUUGACUGGGGCGGUCGCCUCCCAAAGGGUAACGGAGGCGCACAAAGGUUUCCUCUGAACGGGUAGAAAUCGUAUCUAGAGUGUAAAGGCAUAAGGAAGCUUGACUGUGAGACCUACAAGUCGAGCAGGGACGAAAGUCGGUCUUAGUGAUCUGACGGUGCUGAGUGGGAAGGCCGUCACUCAACGGAUAAAAGUUACUCUAAGGAUAACAGGCUGAUCUCCCCCAAGAGUUCACAUCGACGGGGAGGUUUGGCACCUCGAUGUCGGCUCAUCGCAUCCUGGGGCGGUAGUCCGUCCCAAGGGUUGGGCUGUUCGCCCAUGAAAGCGGUACGCGAGCUGGGUUCAGAACGUCGUGAGACAGCUCGGUCCAUAUCCGGUGUAGGCGUUAGAAUAUUGAGAGGAGCCUUCUCUAGUACGAGAGGACCGAGAAGGACAUACCUCUGGUGUACCAGUUAUCGUGCCAACGGUAAACGCUGGGUAGCUAUGUAUGGAGUGGAUAACCGCUGAAAGCAUCUAAGUGGGAAGCCCACCUCAAGAUAAGUAUUCGC